rnacentral:rRNA from 1 species
UCGACCGCCUGGGGAGUACGGCCGCAAGGUUAAAACUCAAAUGAAUUGACGGGGGCCCGCACAAGCGGUGGAGCAUGUGGUUUAAUUCGAUGCAACGCGAAGAACCUUACCUGGUCUUGACAUCCACAGAACUUAGCAGAGAUGCUUUGGUGCCUUCGGGAACUGUGAGACAGGUGCUGCAUGGCUGUCGUCAGCUCGUGUUGUGAAAUGUUGGGUUAAGUCCCGCAACGAGCGCAACCCUUAUCCUUUGUUGCCAGCGGUUAGGCCGGGAACUCAAAGG